UUUCCUGUUGGGUUGCAUGCAGGCACAUUUCCAUUCGGUAUGAGACAUGAAGCUCCAUGUAUGGUACCCCAGCUGUCCACUCCAAUGUAGUUGAGUAGUCCAGAGGUCAGAAUCUGACUGCUUCACCCAUGGCUAUGGUUUAUUACUGCUGUUCAUGCUUGUGCAACCAGUAUAUAAUAUCAAACCAGUGUCCAUGAUAUCCAGCAGGCCACAUCGUGAUCAUUUGCUUCCACUGGUUUUGGUUGUAUGACACCAACUUCUGGAGGUGGCUACUAUCAGUACAAAGGAAGGUCCCUUACUGUCUGUCUUUAAAUAGUGUCUGACUAGUCGUGUCCUAAUCUAGAAAUCUUAGCAUCCCAUCCGGAGUUCUUGUCAAAGUCCUGUUCCAUUAGAAUGAAAAGCAGUUAUGAUAGCAGAUCGGGCAAAGCAGACUCUUCUACCAAAUGGAGGGUAGGUCUGGUCUGCUGGAGAAGGGCAGCUCGGCAAUUUCCACUCUAACCUCUGAAAAGGAGAGCAAAGCUCUUGUCAUAUGAACUGCCUAUGUACAGGUGUAUUUAUUGCCUGCUUAAAUGAUCAUUGCAACCUGACCUCUGCAGCUACAGAACUGACCGUAGAAGAGUCUUGCAAGGUCAAAACCCAAAUUCAGUUCUAUCUUUAUCUCUUCAGUUUGAAACAGCAGGCGGUAGAGCUCCCUAAUGCUUCAAAACUGCAGAGGGGUAAUCUGGCUAAGGUUGGAGACUUUGUGGUUGUCUGUCCAGUUGCUAUUAGGCAUCUUGUAUAAAAGACAAAGCUUUUAGAUGAGCAGCAUGUCCUCCCUCUGCAUGGACAGCAGGCUGUGGUGCUGCUCCAGGGCCAGGGCUGAGCUAAGUACCUAUAUUCCCCUUGCCUUCCAAGGAAAUUCUUUUGACAUCAAGGCUAGGAUUCUUUUGAGAGGCUAGGCAGAGCAGCAGUGUAGCAGGUAAUGGCCCUUCUGAAACGCUUGCCUUUUUUCUCUUCACUAUUACAAUGGCUAAUGUAGUCACCUACGCUGUUAAAAAUAACUGAAUGUGGAAACGGUUCUAUUUAUAGCAGCAGUGCAGUUGUCUGUGCUUUCUGCUUGGGGUGAGGAGGAAAGAUGCACACGCUUUCAUCUGUUGGUGAGCAGCCUAGAAACUGAAGGCUGAAAGGUGAAGAGUCAGCUGGACCUACCUGCUAUGGGGAGAAGGCAUGCCAUUUUUGCAGCAACUGACAGCUGUCAUUAGCCCCAGGCAUCGAAAGGGAAGAAAUGGGAGAUGUGCUCAGCAAAUCCUAAUCCAGGCAGUUGCAGGGGGAUUGGGCCUGCCCUGACUUCACCUGUCACUACACCCUUCUGUUCAACAAGCUUCAGAGGUAAGGAUUCCAACCCAAAUUAGAGCCAAAGAUGUUGCUCUGCCAAACUAGACAUGUGGGAGGUGUGGGGCCCUGCACCCUUCACAGGACCACAGGAAUGUAGGGAUGGAAGGGACCGCACAAGGUCAUCUAGUCCAGCCCCCUGCUCAAGAUAGGAUCAUCCCUGAU